GCGCAGAUAGCCUUGCUGCUUUGUGCCAUAAAACACCAAUCAACCAACCAAACAUCUAAGAAAGCUAUGGUUUGGGAAAAUAUUAACUCAGGAGAGUACAAAUAUCAGUAAUACUUUUAUUCUCGGUGACUGUGUGUGGUAAGGAAUGUUUUAAAUGUAUAAUAAUAAUGUUCAGAAAGUUUUAAGACAGAUGAGUAUUAAAACACAUUCAUUUAGUUUUGAAAAACAAUGGUGUGGAUGUUUCAAAUUUUUCCUUGUGUUUGAGUUUGCAGUUUUCAUAAGUGGAAAACAUUUUUAUUUCAAGCUUUAACCCUAUGUGCACAGCUGGAAUUCAAGUGUGCAUUUCAUGACCUUUUACAGAGUACCAUUCAACAUGGUAUUGCAUAUUUGAUGUCAGAGUUAUCAACUGUUCAUUUAACCCUACAUUGCUGAUUUAAUGGCAUCUUGUUGUAGAAGGAGAGUAAAUACCAGAUACAGUAUACAGGGAUACUGAAAAAAAUGUGUAAAUAUGCAUUUCAUAGGUUCUUGAGCCUUCCCUAAUGUAAUGUGCAAACUGUAUGAUAGGAAAAAGUAGUUUUAUUCUUCACAUGGACAUUCAAUUCACAGAUACUUUGAGUGAAAAAUACUUUAACAUAUCGGAUAUUUUCUGUACAACAGACUUGUACGUUUUACUAAAAGCUUGCAACAUUUCAUGAAGAUAAAUAUAUAGUAAUUUUGGAACUUUAGUCGACAUUACUUUUCCAAGCCUGUGCACAAUGGGUUAAUAAGUGUACUAUUAAUACAAAAUGUUUAAAAAAAUGGUGAUAAGAAUUGAACCACAAAGCCUGAAGGCCACAUUAGAUCAUUAUUUAUAGUUUAUUUAAGCAAAUACUCUGAUUCUAUACAGUGAAAUAUCAUCAAUGGCCUGGAGUUGCAGUAUUUCUUCAAAAUGCCUUUAUCUUCAUGGGGUCUUUGGCAUUCAAAUUUGGUCGAACAGAAGAUUUGUGGGGUUGAGAUGAUAUUUUGAGCUCUUGUAUAAAGAUCAUAAGAUUUAUAAGUAUGAGUAUUAACUUUACUUAUUAUUGUGUAUAAUUUGUUUGUUAACAUUCAGUUUGUAUGGGAAUUACAUGUGACAUAUUAUUAAUAAAUAAUUUUAGUGAGAUUACAUCUUUUAUACACAGCAUCUGAAAAUGAUGCGAGUACACAAAUCAAAGUUCAAGUUACACUAGUUUUGGUUUUGAGUCUUUUAAAUUAAUGAAAGGGAUUUAUACUGAAUAUGAUGUCAGUACAUAAGUUACACUAGUUUUGGUUUUGAUUUUUUAAAAUUAAUGAAAGGGAUUUAUACUGAAUAUGAUAUGAGUACUCAAGUUACACUAGUUUUGGUUUUGAGUUUUUUUAUAAAUUAAUGAAAUGGAUUUAUACUUUUCUAGUUUAUUCUCCAUAUAUUAAAAUGGAUCAUUUUGAGAGAUAUGAAAAUAAUGAUUUUUUCUCCCCCAACAAUUUAAUUUUAAAUCUUAUGUUUAUAUAUAUUAUUAUAAUGUUUGUCAUUAGUAAGAGAGUCAAAACAUAAGAAAAAAUGUAUCACUGUUGCUUUUCAGCAACAGUUACAGUUGAGCGAUUUUUGUUUACUUGAGAUUUCACUUAGUGUUCAAACUAAAUAAUGGAAAUAAGGUAAAAUACUGUUAAAGAGUUUCAAACCACUUUUGCUUAUUCAUUCAUAUUCUACUGAUUUGAUUUUAGGAAGUUAAAUAUUUUAUUAGGUCAGCAUUAUGAUAAGGAAGAUUGUGGUUUAUUGAUGACAAACAUUAUCCCACAGAGAUUUAACAACCAAUAUAUACUGGAUAGGAAACUUUUAUGAACUGUAUCUACCUAAUUGGUUAUGGGCAAGGUUUCCAUCUGCUGGUUCAGGUCUGUAUCCAAUCAAAAUUUUGAGUUGUGAAGUGGAAUAUUGGAGGAAGGAGCUUAAGCUUUUAUAUUAACUUAGUGGUCAGUUAUUAUUUGUGGUUGUUGUAUACUUUUCACACAACUUUUCAAUUGCUGAAACUGUUUUAAUUUAUGUGUUUAACUGCCUACCAUCUUCAAAUAUUUUCUGAUGUUUGACUUUAAUACCGCAAGUUUUUGUAAUAAGUUUUAUAGACUAUGGUGUGACUUAUUUAGGAAUUUUUAUCAAACUGAUUUUUCAUGUUUGACUUCUCAGAAAUAUAAACUAUAUAGAUUUUUAAGUUUAGAAAUAUAUCUAAUGUUCAUCUUCCAUUGGAAAAAAAACAAACAAAAAACAUACAGCAUUUUUGUGCAUGUAUCUUUCAUAUUUGUAGCUGUUUCCAAAAAUUGAAUAGUACAUAAGAGAUUAAUAUUGGUACUUCGUAUACUAUUUAACAUUUCAACUCAACUCAAUAUUUUCUGUGUCAAAUAUUUUGCACCAAUAUAGAUUUAUAUUUAAUAAAUAUAAUGGUAAAAAAGAA